UGAUAAUGGACUAAUUGACCAAAGAGUAUUGAAACAGAGAAAUGUGAAACAUAUUCUAGCAAGAAGCAAAGCAUUACAAUGGACGAAGUCCUAUGUUUUACCAGAGUUUCCCUAUGAUGUCAAAUGCAUGUUAGCAGAGCAGAAGUGCCCGGAUCACAGCAUGAGGAUAAGGAUCAUUGAGUUUCUCCAGGCCGACAUGACUAAGUAUCUGGAAGGCUCACUGUACCCCAGCACCCAGCAGUACAAUGACGUAGUUAAUGCCCUGCUGCAGGCCCACCCUUUCUUGGAUGAGGACGGCUGUGGCUUCUUUUUAUGGAAACGAGCCCUCAAAGAUCGCUUUAAAUAUGUUCGAAGACCCAUAGAAGAUGAUGAGCAAGUGAUUAGAAAUAAGUGUAAAUUUGGACACCGAAGAGGCCAGACAAGGAAAUCUCUUGCUGAUAUAAGAUUUGAUGAAAUUAAACUUGUCCAGAUAAAAGUAAGAUUGAAUUCCUAAAUGUUCUGAUGACUUGAUAGAUUGAUAUAUUAAGGGAUAAUAAAUAAUAGCAUUUAAAAUA
rnacentral:sRNA from 1 species